UUCCGGUUGAUCCUGCCGGACCUGACUGCUAUCGGAUUGAUACUAAGCCAUGCGAGUCUUUGUAGUAAUACAAGGCAGACGGCUCAGUAACACGUAGUCAACCUACCCUAUGGACAAGAAUAAUCUCGGGAAACUGGGCAUAAUUCUUGAUAGAUCAUAAUGCCUGGAAUGGUUUAUGGUUAAAAUGAUUCGUCGCCAUAGGAUGGGACUGCGGCCUAUCAGCUUGUUGGUGAGGUAAUGGCCCACCAAGGCGAUUACAGGUACGGGCUCUGAGAGGAGAAGCCCGGAGAUGGGUACUGAGACACGGACCCAGGCCCUAUGGGGCGCAGCAGGCGAGAAAACUUUGCAAUGUGCGAAAGCACGACAAGGUUAAUCCGAGUGAUUUCUGCUAAAGAAAUCUUUUGCCAGUCAUAAAACCACUGGUGAAUAAGGGGUGGGCAAGUUCUGGUGUCAGCCGCCGCGGUAAAACCAGCACCUCAAGUGGUCAGGAUGAUUAUUGGGCCUAAAGCAUCCGUAGCCGGCUUUGUUAGUUUUCGGUUAAAUCCAUGUGCUCAACGCAUGGGCUGCCGAAAAUACUGCAUGGCUAGGGAGUGGGAGAGGUAGACGGUACUCAGUAGGAAGGGGUAAAAUCCUUUGAUCUAUUGAUGACCACCUGUGGCGAAGGCGGUCUACCAGAACACGUUCGACGGUGAGGGAUGAAAGCUGGGGGAGCAAACCGGAUUAGAUACCCGGGUAGUCCCAGCUGUAAACGAUGCAGACUCGAUGAUGCAUUGGCAUAAUAGCCAGUGCAGUGUCGCAGGGAAGCCGUUAAGUCUGCCGCCUGGGAAGUACGUACGCAAGUAUGAAACUUAAAGGAAUUGGCGGGGGAGCACCACAAGGGGUGAAGCCUGCGGUUCAAUUGGAUUCAACGCCGG
rnacentral:rRNA from 1 species